UACGAAGGGUACAAGCGUUGUUCGGAAUUACUGGGCGUAAAGCGCGCGUAGGCGGAUGAGUAAGUCGAUUGUGAAAUCCCUGGGCUUAACCUGGGAACUGCAGUCGAAACUGCUUAUCUUGAGUGCCUGAGAGGAUGGCGGAAUUCCCGGUGUAGUAGUGAAAUACGUAGAUAUCGGGAAGAACACCUGAGGCGAAGGCGGCUAUCUGGCGGUGCACUGACGCUGAGGCGCGAAAGCGUGGGGAGCAAACAGG
rnacentral:rRNA from 1 species